rnacentral:rRNA from 1 species
CAGCCGCCGCGGUAAUACGGAGGGUGCAAGCGUUAAUCGGAAUUACUGGGCGUAAAGCGCACGCAGGCGGUCUGACAAGUCAGAUGUGAAAUCCCCGGGCUUAACCUGGGAACUGCAUUUGAAACUGUCAGGCUGGAGUCUUGUAGAGGGGGGUGGAAUUCCAGGUGUAGCGGUGAAAUGCGUAGAGAUCUGGAGGAAUACCGGUGGCGAAGGCGGCCCCCUGGACAAAGACUGACGCUCAGGUGCGAAAGCGUGGGGAGCAAACAGGAUUAGAGACCCGAGUAGUCCCUGUCUCUUAUAU